AUGAUCCUGCUUCUAGAGGCCAGGAUCAAUCCAUCCAUCUGUGCUCCACUACCAGGGGCAAGUGCAGCCUCACGUUCACUGCAUGAUGGAUGCAUGGAACGGCGCUGCGUUACUGAAACAAGAAAACCUCUUAAUGUCCGUGAACUUCAGAUUCUUAGUGCAGAGGAAGGUGAUCCCUCUCGCUGCGGUUUCAAAGGAUGCGGACCCUUGAUGGAUCUUUGUUCAUCUGCCCUGUUUUUGUCCCUCCCCUUGUACUCAUUCAUCUGCUGGCGAAAAUUAAGAGGCUGUCGCCGUUCAGCCGCCAUUAAUUUUUCAUGAAAAUAUCAAUUAUGUCCUGUAAUAGAGAGCUCGCAUGCGCCGCCCAGGAGGGAUCGGCCAUCCUCCAUGCAAUCAUCCCAAAUUUGGCCUUGUGCUCCGCUUAUACCCUUCAUCCCCAGCUCCCUCCACCCUGAGAGCCGUACUCUCCUAAUUAGUCACCAGGAGGAGAGGGGGCUCUAUUAGGACCAGUGAUGAAUCAUUAUCUUCCGUAAUUGGCCCUCCAGUCCCCCAGGGGGUGCCCUGCUCCAGACUGCCCAGCUGGAGGAGCCUAUCCUGCCAUGGCAUGAAACUGCAGCUGGAGAGUGAGCCAAACUACUUCUUUUUUUUUUUUUUACUGCAAAGCCUCCAUUAAUAAUCCUGAACCUCAGCUCAUACUAAUAGGUUCAUAUUAAUCAUUGUUUGGGUGAUGCGGUUCUGUAAUUGAGAGCCGCCUUAAGAAGAUUAAUUUGGUGUAAUAUUCAUCACAGAGGGGAAGAGAGUUAUUGGUAUUCAUUAUGAUGGUGAUGUUGCCACAGCAAUUUUACAAAGGCGGGUAAAGCUUUGUGAAUGCAGCCUUGCGAAAUGAUAAACAACUCGUUUAUGAGUCUGUAUUACUCUACAACAACAGUUUGGAUUCAUUUCCAUAUAGUGAGUGCAGUUUUCUUUGUUGGAGCCUCUGUAAAGCGGUAAGAUUUAUAAAUACUGUAGGACUAUAAAUAGGAUUUUUUUCUUAUAUAUUGUCAGUAACUCUGAAUGAUGGAAUGGACUGAAAUUUGUUCACAAUAAUAUUUAGUGGAACUGGUGCGUUCAAGUCCUCUUGGGAAGUUGUUUGCAUUCAAGUCACUUUCGUCAUAGCAAGAUAACUUUUUUAAGCAAGUUUUUUUUUACUUUGUUUUUAUUCAGUUUAUGAAUGUUCUAUUAAGUGAAUUGUUAUAUAUUCACAUAUCAAAAACAACAAAACAAACAGCAAAAUUAUAGUCAAAACAUGGUAUCCACUGCAUCUGACAUGUUUUUUCACUGAGAAGACCCAAAAUGUAUAAUUCUGAGUUUCUUAUUUGUAAUAAUUUUCAUAAACACGAUCUUUUUGACAUGACUUGAAAGCACUGUAUGUUUAAACAGUGUGGAGAUCAUCAUAUUUACUGUAUCAUCAUGUGUGUCCUACCCAUCAGGCCUGAGAAUAAAGACAACAAGAUAUUAGAAUAUUUUAUUAGAAUAAAGACAACAAGAUACUUUCUCAGAAAAAUUAGACUUUUAUUUACCUAGUCUUGCCUCUAUUCUUUUUCAACCAAACAAGUAUUGGUGCCAGACCUGGUCUUGUUUCAUCGAAGAAUUGUUGGUUCUGACCCUGAAAAUUUGGAUCUCCUUUUUUCCCUCAGUUUUAAAAUGCUUGCUUUUAUUUCAUGUUUAUAAGCUGAAGAAAUUUGUGAGCACUGUCUUGGGCUCUGCCUACAUUAUACGUCAUCUGCUGGAAUGCCACUUGUUAAUGCGAUUAGAGUUUAGGAUUAGGGUUUAUAAAAUUUUAAAUAUUUUUCAUAAACACAUCCAUUCACUUCAGAAGGCCUUUAUUUAUAAGGCCACCAUGCACUGCCACUAUAAAGCUCGGAAGAGCCAAGACAUUUUUUUUAAUUUAACUUAGUCUGAAAGAAGAAGAAAAUCAAGAGUUGGUAAUUUUCAUAUUUGGGUGAACCUUUGUUAAAACUUCUCCUACAUCUUUAUUUUUACUGAAUCAUAAACUACAUUUACGUGAUACACUCACUAACUUUUUAUUGCCUUUGUUGCCAUGAAAAACUUUUUUCAGUAAAUACAGAAAAAUAUGGAAGCCUGUUAUUUGAUAUAUUUAUUAUAUAUCAAAGUGUUACUUUUAUAUAUCACAGCUGUGACUGUAUUUCUUAUAACUACAUUUUUCCAAAGUUGCAACUUUAUGACUUCAUCUCACAUUUGUGACUUAUUAUAUGUGAAAUAUUUGUUGUAUAUCAGAGUGCUACUUUUAUAUCUCAACUGCGACUUUAUUUCUCACACUUGUGACUCAUUUUUUGUAAUUAUGACUGUAUAUCUUACAAUGUGACAUUUUCUCAUUUUAAACUAUCUCACCAUUACUUUGUUAUAUUUUUACUCAGAGGCGGGUGAAGUCUUUCAUAGGAAACAUCAAAAAACUAAAACAAAGAACAAAUAGAAUUAGAAUUAGAAUAGAAUUUUUAACACUACCUACAAUACAGUAUAUAUACAUAGAUUCAACAAGGUGUUGGAAACAUUCCUCAGAGAUUUUGGUUCAUACUGACAUGAUAGCAUCACGCAGUUGCUGCUGAUUUGUCUGCUGCACAUCCAUGAUGUGAAUCUCCCGUUCCACCACAUCCCAAAGCUGCUCUAUUGGUUUGAGAUCUGGUGAAUGUGGAGGCCAUUUGAGUAAAGUGAACUCAUUGUCAUGUUCAAGAAACCAGUCUGAGAUGAUUUGAGCUUUGUGACAUGGUGCAUUAUCCUGCUGGAAGUAGCCAUCAGAAGAUAGGUACACUGUAGUCAUAAAGGGAUGGACAUGGUCAGCAACAAUACUCAGGUAGGCUGUGGCGUUUAAACAAUGCUCAAUUGGUACUAAGGGGCCUAAAGUGUGCCAAGAAAAUAUCCCCCACACCAUUACACCACCACCACCAGCCUGAACCAUUGAGACAAGGCAGGAUGGAUCCAUGCUUUCAUGUUCUUUACGCCAAAUUCUGACCCUACCAUCUGAAUGUAGCAGCAGAAAUCGAGACUCAUCAGACCAGACAACAUUUUUCCAAUCUUCUAUUGUCCAAUUUUGGUGAGCCUGUGCGAAUUGUAGCCUCCGUUUCCUGUUCUUAGCUGACAGGAGCGCCACCUGGUGUGGUCUUCUGCUGUUGUAGCCCAUCUGCUUCAGGGUUUGACGUGUUGUGUGUUCAGAGAUGGUAUUCUGCAUACCUUGGUUGUAACAAGUGGUUAUUUGAGUUACUGUUGCCUUUCUAUCAUCUCUAACCAGUCUGCCCAUUCUUCUCUGACCUCUGACAUCAACAAGGCAUUUUCAUCCACACAACUGCCGCUCACUGGAUAUUUUCUCUUUUUCAGACCACUCUGUAAACCCUAGAGUCAAAAUCCCACUAGAUCAGCAGUUUUUGAAAUAUUUAGACCACCCCGUCUGGCACCAACAACCAUUCCACGUUCAAAGUCACUUAAAUCCCUUUCUUCCCCGUUCUGAUGCUUGGUUUGAACUUCAGCAAGUCGUCUUUACCACAUCUAGAUGCCUAAAUGCAUUGAGUUUCUGCGAUGUGAUUGUCUGAUUAGCAAUUUGUGUUACCAAGCCAAUGAAUAGGUGUACCUAAUAAAGUGGCCAGUGAGUGUAUAUAUAUAUGUUGAUUUUCCAGUUUUUGCUGAAGAAGCUUUGUCUGCAAAAGAAGACAAGUCUGCAAAUUAAGUCAGCAACUUAGAAGAAAGCUGCAUCUUCAUGGAUGAGAGAGCGUGGAAGCACUUGGCUCUUGUGCACAGCAGUAGAAUGAAGAUGUCACUUGUGACAAACUGCCUACUGUUGUGAGCGCUCGGCCCAUCACUAACACUGUCAGUGUGUUUGUUUAUGGUUUACUCUAUCUAUCUAUCUAUCUAUCUAUCUAUCUAUCUAUCUAUCUAUCUAUCUAUCUAUCUAUCUAUCUAUCUAUCUAUCUAUCUAUCUAUCU
ensembl:lncRNA